rnacentral:rRNA from 1 species
GGCUUAUUGGUAAUAAUUUUAAGUCGGGCCUGCCCAAUGAUUAAUUUAAAUGGCCGCGGUAUUUUGACUGUGCAAAGGUAGCAUAAUCAUUAGUUUUUUAAUUGAAAGCUUGUAUGAAGGGUUUGAUGAAAAAAUUUCUGUCUCUGUUAAAAUUUAUUAGAAGUUUAUUUUUGAGUCAAAAAGCUUAAAUUUUUAUUGAAGACGAGAAGACCCUAUAGAGUUUGAUACUUAAAUAGUUAAAAAGGUGUAUAGUAUGUAAUUGUGUUUUAUUUAUUUAAGUAUUUGAUUGGGGUGAUUAAAAAAUUUGAUAAACUUUUUUUUUAUUUUUACACUGAUAUGUGAAUAUUUGAUCCUUUAAAAAGAUUACAAGAGAAAAUUACCUUAGGGAUAACAGCGUAAUUUUUUUUAGAGCUCUUAUCAAAAAAAAAGAUUGCGACCUCGAUGUUGGAUUAAAAUAAAUUGUUGGUGUAGAAGCUAAUAGAUUAGGUCUGUUCGACCUGUAGAAUUUUACAUGAUCUGAGUUUAAACCGGUGUGAG